AUUUAAAUCCAUUUGCCUGAAGUUUGCUGUUGGAAGCAAAGCUGCUUGAGUCUCCGACAUUACUUUUUUUUUCUCACCGUCGCGUCUUGCGCUGCAAAAUCUAAUCCGUUUCCGACCUUCUAGAAGCCUUCAACCCGCCACUUUGCCCACUCUCCUCUUCCUUCUUUGCUACCCAUUUCGUCGCAGUAGUCGGCAGUCGAAACCCUAGUCCCCUCGCUUUCCUUCCACUCGCCGUCGCGGCGCCGAUAGAGCCAGAGCUGAAAGGCGUAGGAAAAGCUGGUGGAGGAGGGGAUGGACCGGAUCGUAGGCAGCAAGUACAAGCUGGGUCGCAAGAUCGGAAGCGGUUCCUUCGGGGAGAUCUACCUCGCGACGCACGUCGACACCUACGAGAUCGUCGCCGUCAAGAUUGAAAGCAGCAAAACCAAUCAUCCACAGUUGCUAUAUGAGGCCAAACUGUACAAUGCUCUUCAAGGAGGGACUGGUAUCGCAAACAUAAAAUGGUGCGGCAUUGACGGCGAUGAAAACAUUCUUGUUAUUGAUUUACUCGGACCAAGCCUUGAAGAUCUGUUUGUUUAUUGUGGCCGGAGAUUCUCACUGAAGACGGUCUUGAUGCUAGCGGACCAGAUGAUAACAAGAAUAGAAUUUAUGCAUUCUAAAGGCUAUCUGCACAGAGACAUCAAGCCUGAUAACUUCCUCAUGGGCCUUGGUCGAAAAGCUAACCAGGUUUAUGUAAUUGACUUCGGGCUUGCAAAGAGAUAUCGUGAUUCAGCCACCAACCGCCAUAUACCUUAUAGAGAAAAUAAAAACUUGACUGGCACAGCUCGCUAUGCUAGCCGUAAUACUCAUCUUGGGAUUGUUUUGUUGCCAGAGCAAAGCCGCAGAGAUGAUUUGGAAUCGAUCGGAUACGUUCUUCUGUAUUUCCUUAGGGGAAGUCUUCCUUGGCAGGGCUUGAAAGCAGCCACAAAGAAACAGAAGUAUGACAAAAUAAGUGAGAAGAAGCUUUCGACUCCUAUUGAGGCUCUAUGUAAAUCCCAUCCUGUGGAAUUUGCUUCCUAUUUCCACUACUGCCAUUCUCUGACAUUUGAUCAGCGUCCCGAUUAUAGUUUCUUGAGGCAUGUCUUUCGAGAAUUGUUUGAGCGCGAAGGCUAUCAAUUUGAUUAUGUGUAUGACUGGACUUUGUUGAAGUGUAAGCAAUCCCAGAAGGCUAAGGUUCAGCAAGGAUGCUCUCAUGAUGCAGGCGUAAGCAGCCGUCCAGUUGCAACAAACGUGGACAAGCACCAAGUUGGUGUUGCACGCCCAAUUAAUGCUUCAGGUCUGCUUGAAGCAGAACAACGCCCGGCAAUCAGAAUGCAAUUAAACAGCCGUUCCAAUAAUCUGCAUCCUGAGAGAUUGGGAGUGUCUGCUAGUCAUAAUAAUGUACUGCUGCAAUCCACGUCACUUGACAAUGCUGAUGCUCCAAUGGACCACGCGACACAUUCAAAAGCACAGGGGUCCAUUGAUCCACACACUCGUGGAAGUUAUAGUCCAGGGCCCUCUAACCGCACUUAACCUUUUGCAUUGUUCGUAAAAGCUUGCGGGUCCAUGCAGUAAACAAUUGGUUGCCUGAUGUAGUUUCAUGGAUGCAUUCUGGACAAACAUCCAAUGCUUCUUAGUUGCAUGAGGCCAUUGCUGGAAAUAGCUGUCGGAUUUUUAUGAGGACUUCUGUAUUGCUUGAGGAUCCUUUACAAACCUAAUAAUGGUGACACAUUCUAUGCAUAAUGAAAAUUUGGGGUUUCACCUGGAUAGCUUUCAUUUUAAUUACGGGCUGCAGCAGUGCGACAAUGUGCAUUCUACUUGGAUUGAGUUACAACUUUUUAACUUGUAUAAGCUUCCAUUGUGUUGAACACAAAAUUACACCAUGCAAAACAUCGCGAAGAGGUAUCUGGGAAGUUUAUGAUUGGUUAGCAUGCACAUUCAAUGACAUAUGCAUGCAUCAGUUAGGACAACGCCUCUUCGCUAAAAGUGAAUAUCCGACCAGUAUUGACCUGCAGUUUCCAGUGUCUUGACACCAAAUCGCCAUACAAAAACUACAGAGUGGUGGUAUACGGGAAGUUCAUGGUUGGUUAGCAUACACCCUCUUUGCUGAAAGGCUGUCAUAUUCUACUUGGAUUGGCCGCAGCUUGCAAUGUAUGACACCAAAUAGCACCAUACAAAGACUAUGAAGAGGUCUGGGAAGCUUAUGAUUGGGUAGCAUCCAUGUAUCUAUAACUGUGACCGCAACUUUGAAGAAACACAUGCUGUGGCUCAUGGCCUCGAGAUAAAAAAAGGUUAAAUUGCAAUCGACAACAAUCUGGUUGGGCAGAGAAUCCUGUUCGCAGAGUGUUUGAGCUCAUUUGUUCCUUGGCAAAGUCGAUGUCGUUGACGAACACCUGCAUUACGAAUUACGAUAUAUGAACACCGUAGGAAGUUUGUCGAAAAGCGAAGGGAAUCAUCCUUCUCUAUAGUCCAAAAACGUCGGUGCAUUGGAUAGUACCGAUUUCACUCAUCAGGGUCCAGGAUGGAUGUGACAUGCAUUGGUGUGGAUUGAUCCCUGGCAAGGGCAAUGGCUCACAACUCAGCAUCAUGUUGUGUCCAGAGAAGCAUCUCAGCUGCAGGGACCUAGCGCGAAGAAAACCAGAUUGCACACCUGGGCAUAUGCAAUUCCCCUUGUCAUACUCGGUGUCGGUGACACCAUAGUUGUAGGUAUGCUCCAGCGUUCCAGGCCUCUCAAACUUGUAGCCGUCACCCGUCAGGGCCCACACCACGAAGGCGAUGACGCUCUUGCUGCCCUCUUUAUGAGAUCUCAAUUGUAACCGAUCGACGGGGAAGUUCUAGGUUUGCCAACAGCACUGCUCGACGACGAAAUGCGAUUCCGCGGGCCCGUAUUCGAGGAACGCGUCGGUUUACUUCUCCUCAGCCUUAGGUAUAUAUGCCCAUCUUGCUGAGCAGCUUCAUCGCCCAGGCACCCGGUUUAGAACAUGCAUUAAUUUGUAUAAUCUGUUUCAGCUCAGACUUCAGAGCGGACUGUGACUUGUAUUGUUUUGUGGUACCUGAUUGUCUUUGUCGA